rnacentral:rRNA from 1 species
GACGAACGCUGGCGGCGUGCUUAACACAUGCAAGUCGAACGGAAAGGCCUUUUCGGAGGUACUCGAGUGGCGCACGGGUGAGUAACACGUGGGUGAUCUGCCCUGCACUCUGGGAUAAGCCUGGGAAACUGGGUCUAAUACCGGAUAGGACCGCACUUUAGUGUGUGUGGUGGAAAGUUUUUUCGGUGUAGGAUGAGCCCGCGGCCUAUCAGCUUGUUGGUGGGGUAAUGGCCUACCAAGGCGGCGACGGGUAGCCGGACUGAGUGGUUGGUCGGCCACAUUGGGACUGAGAUACGGCCCAGACUCCUACGGGAGGCAGCAGUGGGGAAUAUUGCACAAUGGGCGCAAGCCUGAUGCAGCGACGCCGCGUGGGGGAUGACGGCCUUCGGGUUGUAAACUCCUUUCGCCAGGGACGAAGCGUUUUGUGACGGUACCUGGAGAAGAAGCACCGGCUAACUACGUG